GGAUUAGCGGCGAACGGGUGAGGAACACGUGAGGAAUCUGCCUUCAACACUGGGAUAACUCCGGGAAACCGGGGCUAAUACCGGAUACGAGACCUGCAGGCAUCUGCGGGUCUGGAAAGUUUUUCGGUUGAAGAUGACCUCGCGGCCUAUCAGCUUGUUGGUGAGGUAAUGGCUCACCAAGGCGACGACGGGUAGCCGGCCUGAGAGGGCGACCGGUCACACUGGGACUGAGACACGGCCCAGACUCCUACGGGNAGGCAGCAGUGGGGAAUAUUGGGCAAUGGAGGGAACUCUGACCCAGCGACGCCGCGUGCGGGAUGAAGGCCUUCGGGGUUGUAAACCGCUUUCAGCAAGGAAGAAGCGAAAGUGACGGUACUUGCAGAAGAAGCACCGGCUAACUAUGUGCCAGCAGCCGNGGUAAUACAUAGGNNGCAAGCGUUGUCC
rnacentral:rRNA from 1 species